rnacentral:rRNA from 1 species
GGGCCCGCACAAGCGGUGGAGUAUGUGGUUUAAUUCGAUGCAACGCGAAGAACCUUACCAGGGUUUGACAUCCUGCGAAUCUCUUGGAAACGAGAGGGUGCCUUCGGGAACGCAGUGACAGGUGCUGCAUGGCUGUCGUCAGCUCGUGUCGUGAGAUGUUCGGUUAAGUCCGGCAACGAGCGCAACCCACAUCCCUAGUUGCCAGCAGUUCGGCUGGGCACUCUAUGGAAACUGCCCGUGAUAAGCGGGAGGAAGGUGUGGAUGACGUCAAGUCCUCAUGGCCCUUACGGGUUGGGCUACACACGUGCUACAAUGGUAGUGACAAUGGGUUAAUCCCAAAAGCUAUCUCAGUUCGGAUUGUCGUCUGCAACUCGACGGCAUGAAGUCGGAAUCGCUAGUAAUCGCGUAAC